GCAGGUGGUUGCUUUUAGAUUCUAAAAGAGGAAAGUCCGAGCUACGCUAAGACAGGAUUCCAUUUAACGAAUGGCUGAUGUAAAUCAAGGGAAAGUGCAACAGAAAACAACCGCCCUCAUAAUGUGUUGUGUGGGUAAGGGUGAAAAGGUGGGGUAAGAGCCUACCGACAUUGUAGCAAUACAUUGUGCCGUGUAAACCCAAUCCGUAGCAAGAAGAGCAGGUUAGAAGUCUUAGGUUUUUUAGCUCUUCGCACGAGUAUAGCAGUGAUGUUAUGCCUAGAUAAAUAGCCACCCAAGACAGAACUCGGCUUAUGC
rnacentral:RNase_P_RNA from 1 species